rnacentral:rRNA from 1 species
CCCUUAGAUGUUCUGGGCUGCACGCGCGCGACAAUGACGUUUGCAACGAGAUACGAGACCGAAAGGUUAAGUUGAUCUAGCAAGCUGCGUCGUGAUAGGGACUGUCGAUUGCAAUUAUUCGACACGAACGAGGAAUUCCUUGUAAUCGCACAUCAUCAGUGUGCGCUGAAUACGUCCCUGCCCUUUGUACACACCGCCCGUCGCUCCUACCGAUCGAGUGAUCCGGUGAAUGUUUUGGAUCGGUUGCAAGUUGCGCGACGCGCUUCUUGCAUGCUGUGAAAUCAUGUAAGCCCUAUUGCUUAGAGGAAGGAGAAGUCGUAACA